GGCGGAAGUGUUAGUUUGGUGGUGAGGGAGUCCUCCUGAGGAGAGAACACGGAGAGGAACCAGUGCUGGAGAGUCCUGGCCUGUAGCCUGGCAUUGGGGAGGACAUGGGUGGUGGAAGCCAUGUGCCCUAGCAGGCAUUGCACCGUACGUGCUGACUAGAUAGGGUGGCAGAGAAGGUGUGUUGAUAAGUCCAGGAUCGCCUGGGUUCUGCGUUGAGGGAGGAAAAUUUUGGGUUGCACUGAGUCGAAGAGGAUUCCCAAAAAUUCUAUGGUUUUGGAGGGCGUGAGCUUCAAUUUGUCGUACUUCACCCGUAGGCCCAGAUCGGAGAGGAGGGUGAUGGCCACGUGAAAGUCUCUGAGGAGGGAUUGUUGGUCGUGAGCCACCACGAGCCAAUCGUCGAGGAACGGAAAUAUCUGAAUACUUUGUUGUUGCAGGGCUGCCACCACUGGGGCCAUGCAUUUGGUGAACACCCGGGGUGCAGAUGCCAGUCUGAAAGGAAGGGCGCAAAAUUGGGAGGAGCCAUCGAAGAGCAGAUCCUCAACUCUGGAUCUGGCAUCUGGCAUGAGACCAGAAGAUCUAAGCCAGGCGUGGUGGUGAAAGGCAAUGGAGGUUGCCAUUACUUUGGCGGCCCCUUCAGUGGAAUGGCGAAUUGCAUGCAGUCAUUGUUCAGAGACCUGCGUGGCCUCCCGGAGGAAGACCUUAGCUGGAGCCUGUUGAUCUGCGGGGAGAUGGUCCAAGAAUGGAGCAACAUGGUCCCAGAGAAAGGAUUGAUACUUGGCAUAGUACGCCUGGUAAUUAGUGAUUCUAGUCAAUAAAGAAGCGAUUGAAUAUAA